GCCCAGCCCCAUAGCGAGGCCCACAGGUGCCAUAGGGCGGCCAUGCAGCUCUGGAUGGGGAGAGAGGAGGGAAAGUGUGGGGUGAUGUGGGGCAGCUAUGGGGGGAGUUAUGGGGCUGGGGGGUGAUGUGGGGCUAUGGGGCAGGUUAUGGGGCAGGCUAUGGGUGACUAUAGGUCUCUAUGGGGCAGCUAUGGGUCACUAUAGGGCUCUAUGGGUCUCUAUGGGGCAGCUAUGGGUCACAAUAGGGCUCUAUGGGUCUCUAUUGGGCAGCUAUAGGUCUCUAUGGGGCAGCUAUGGGGCAGGCUAUGGGUGACUAUAGGUCUCUAUGGGGCAGCUAUGGGUCACUAUAGGGCUCUAUGGGUCUUUAUUGGGCAGCUAUAGGUCUCUAUGGGGCAGCUAUGGGGCAAGCUAUGGGUGACUAUAGGUCUCUAUGGGGCAGCUAUGGGUCUCUAUGGGUCUCUAUGGGGCAGCUAUGGGUCUCUAUGGGUCUCUAUGGGGCAGCUAUGGGUCUCUAUGGGUCUUUAUGGGUCUCUAUGGGUCUCUAUGGGGCAGCUAUGGGUCUCUAUGGGUCUCUAUAGGGCAGCUAUGGGUCUCUAUGGGUCUCUAUGGGUCUCUAUGGGUCUGACCUGUAUGAUGCUGGCCCCCCUCCUGAGCCCCACAUCCAAUAGCCGGCUAUAGGGCUGCUAUGGGUCAGUCUAUGGGUCUCUAUGGGUCUCUAUGGGGCAGCUAUGGGUCUCUAUGGGUCUCUAUGGGGUGUCUAUGGGGCUCUAUGGGGUGUCUAUGGGGCUCUAUGGGGUCCCUAUAGGGUCUAUGGGGCUCUAUGGGGAUCUAUGGGUGUCUAUGGGGUUCUAUGGGGCUCUAUGGGGUCUCUAUGGGGUGUCUAUGGGGCUCUAUGGGAGACAGGGGGGCAAUAUGGGGUGUCUAUGGGGCUCUAUGGGGUGUCUAUGGGUCUCUAUGGGGCUCUAUGGGUGUCUAUGGGGCUCUAUGUGGUGUCUAUGGGUCUCUAUGGGGUGUCUAUGGGGCUCUAUGGGGUGUCUAUGGGGCUCUAUGGGAUCUCUCUGGGCCGCGGAAUGGACGGAUGGUUCGUUUCAAGGCGUAAAGGCGGCCGUCAACCAGGCUGCGCACCUAUAAGUGGGGCAAUAAUUGAGGUUAUGGGGUUCUAUGGGGCUCUAUGGGACAAUAUGGGGUCUCUAUGCGGCUCUAUAGGGUCUCUAUGGGGGCAGGGGGGCAAUAUGGGGCUCUAUGGGACAAUAUGAGAUCUCUAUGAGGCUCUAUGGCAUCUCUAUGGGGGCAGGUAGGCAAUAUGGGGCUCUAUGGGACAAUAUAGGGUCUCUAUGGGGUUCUAUGGGGCUCUAUGGGGUGUCUAUGGGGCUCUAUGGGGAUCUAUGGGUCUCCAUGGGGCAGUAUGGGGUCCUUAUGAGAUCUAAGUGGGGUCUAUGGGGAUCUAUGGGGAUCUAUGGGGCCCUAUGGGACAAUAUAGGGUCUCUAUGGGGUUCUAUGGGGUCUAUGGGGUCUCUAUGGGGCUCUAUGGGGUCUCUAUGGGGCAGUAUGGGGUCCCUAUGAGGUCUCGAUGGGGUCGAUGGGGCUCUAUGGGGUGUCUAUGGGGCUCUAUGGGGUGUCUAUGGGGCUCUAUGGGUGUCUAUGGGGCUCUAUGGGGUGUCUAUGGGGCUCUAUGGGGUCUCUAUGGGGUGUCUAUGGGGCUCUAUGGGAGGCAGGGGGGCAAUAUGGGGUGUCUAUGGGGCUCUAUGGGGCUCUAUGGGGAUCUAUGGGGCUCUAUGGGGUGUCUAUGGGGCUCUAUGGGGUGUCUAUGGGGCUCUAUAGGGUGUCUAUGGGGCUCUAUGGGGUGUCUAUGGGGCUCUAUGGAGUCUCUAUAGGGUCUAUGGGGUGUCUAUGGGGAUCUAUGGGUGUCUAUGGGGUUCUAUGGGGCUCUAUGGGGUCUCUAUGGGGCUCUAUGGGGUGUCUAUGGGGCUCUAUGGGUGUCUAUGGGGCUCUAUGGGGUGUCUAUGGGGCUCUAUGGGUGUCUAUGGGGGCUCUAUGGGGUGUCUAUGGGGUUUAUGGGACUCUAGUAGGGCUUCGGUAGGGCUCGUAUGGGGUACUAUGGGAUUCUUUGGGGCCUCUAUGGGCUCUAUGGAGUUCUAUGGGGCAUAUGGGGCUCUAUGGGGUGUCUAUGGGGUUCUAUGGGACUCUAUAGGGCUCGGUAGGGCUCUAUGGGGUAUCUAUGGGAUUCUUUGGGGCUCUAUGGGGUCUCUAUGGGGC
rnacentral:lncRNA from 1 species